rnacentral:misc_RNA from 1 species
ACACCCCUCAAGCCUGGCUUGGUAUUGGGCGCCGGGACUCUCCCGCGCCCCGAUGUCGCCGGCUGGACGACUCCGAUCUCACAAGCGUUGUACAAAUUCGCUGGCGGGACGGGCGGCCACGCCGUUAACCUCAAUCAAAU